rnacentral:rRNA from 1 species
UACGAAGGGGGCUAGCGUUGUUCGGAAUCACUGGGCGUAAGCGCACGUAGGCGGAUUGUUAAGUCGGGGGUGAAAUCCUGAGGCUCAACCUCAGAACUGCCUUCGAUACUGGCAAUCUCGAGUCCGGAAGAGGUUGGUGGAACAGCUAGUGUAGAGGUGAAAUUCGUAGAUAUUAGCUAGAACACCAGUGGCGAAGGCGGCCAACUGGUCCGGUACUGACGCUGAGGUGCGAAAGCGUGGGGAGCAAACAGG